rnacentral:lncRNA from 1 species
UUUUAUUCUACUGUGCUUGCCAGCAUGCCUGGAUGCAGAAAAGCAACCGUUUGGGUUGAUUCACAGCCCUCUAUUUUCUCUAGGGUGAACUUGUCACCAGACAGGGUCUGAGGAGGACCCCCUACUGAGGAGAUGGAGACAUCAACUCACUUCAGGCAAGUUCUUGACCUACUGUUGCAGGUAAAUA